UUCCUACGGGGGGCAGCAGUGGGGAAUAUUGCACAAUGGGCGCAAGCCUGAUGCAGCGACGCCGCGUGGGGGAUGACGGCCUUCGGGUUGUAAACUCCUUUCGCCAGGGACGAAGCGCGAGUGACGGUACCUGGAGAAGAAGCACCGGCCAACUACGUGCCAGCAGCCGCGGUAAUACGUAGGGUGCGAGCGUUGUCCGGAAUUACUGGGCGUAAAGGGCUCGUAGGCGGUUUGUCGCGUCGUCUGUGAAAUGCUGCAACUCAAUUGUAGGCGUGCAGGCGAUACGGGCAGACUUGAGUACUACAGGGGAGACUGGAAUUCCUGGUGUAGCGGUGAAAUGCGCAGAUAUCAGGAGGAACACCGGUGGCGAAGGCGGGUCUCUGGGUAGUAACUGACGCUGAGGAGCGAAAGCGUGGGGAGCGAACAGGAUUAGAUACCCUUGUAGUC
rnacentral:rRNA from 1 species